rnacentral:tRNA from 1 species
GCCGGAAUAGCUCAGUGGUUAGAGCAACUGUUUUGUAAACAGUAGGUCAAGAGUUCAAAUCUCUUUUCCGGCU